GAUGAACGCUGGCGGCGUGCCUAAUACAUGCAAGUCGAGCGAACAGACGAGGAGCUUGCUCUUCUGACGUUAGCGGCGCACGUGUGUGAAACACGUGGACAACCUACCUAUCAGACUGGGAUAACUUCGAUACACCGGAGCUAAUACCAGAUAAUAUAUUGCACCGCAUGGUUCAAUAGUGAAAUACGGCUUUGCUGUUUCUUAUAGAUGGAUCCGCGCCGCAUUAGCUAGUUGGUAAGGUAACGGCGUAUCAAGGCGACGAUGCGUAGCCGAUCUGAGAGGGUGAACAGCCACACGGGAACUGAGACACGGACCAGACUCCUACGGGAGGCAGCAGUAGGGAAUCUUACGCAAUGGGCGAAAGCCUGACGGAGCAACGGCGAGUGUGUGAUGAAGGCCUUCGGAUCGUAAAACUCUGUUAUUAGGGAAGAACAAAUGUGUAAGUAACUAUGCAGGGAAUGACGGUACCGAAUCAGGAAGCAACGGCUAACUACGUG
rnacentral:rRNA from 1 species